rnacentral:rRNA from 1 species
UACAGAGGUCCCAAGCGUUGUUCGGAUUCACUGGGCGUAACGGGUGCGUAGGCGGUUUGGCAAGUCUGAUGUGAAAUCCCGCAGCUUAACUGCGGAACUGCACUGGAAACUGCUUGACUAGAGGAAUGGAGGGGAGACUGGAAUUCAUGGUGUAGCAGUGAAAUGCGUAGAGAUCAUGAGGAAGACCAGUGGCGAAGGCGGGUCUCUGGACAGUUCCUGACACUGAGGCACGAAGGCCAGGGGAGCAAACGGG